UUAACGCAAAGCGGAUUUUCGUAUAUAAAGUUCACAUUUUGAAACACCCCAAUCAGCAAUAUAAAUGCGGCAAGGUGUUUUCCAAUUCCAACAUAUCAAGUUUGACACGCCAGGAAUUUUCACAGAGAUGAAACUACUGAAAUCGCUUCUAACUUGUACAAAAAUGCAGCGAAAUAUAAUUAUAACUGCCAUUGUGGAAAGAACUUUAGUGAUAAAAAUAAUUUCACGAACCAUCAUAAGAUCCACGGUGAAGAUUCAUCUUCUGGUAGUGGUAGUUACCAACGGUAGAAUGAAGUUCAUAACCAGUUGCAUAGUAUUUUACAUGAGAUAGAUCAACAAGUUUUACGUAGAAAGCUGUUCAAUUUCCUAAACCAAUGUGAUGAUCCAGAUGUAACAGAUUUUAUUACUUCAAAGAAAAUUGGGCAUAUGCUUACUGACUUCAUGCUGGUAUUAAUACUGAUAUGCAUCUAGAGAGAUUUCAUAAGACUUUUAAAUAUAUUUACCUCAAAGGAAAGAAAGUUAAAAGACUAGAUAAGGGAAUAUGUGCAAUCAUGCAAUUUGUUGACAGACUUAUAUCCCGUCAUAAGGAUAAAAUCUGCAGUAAAGUCAAAGAAAUAAGAGUUUGUCAUGAAACUAUGACCAGCUUGGAUAAAAAUUUAUUAAUAUAAUGUGAAGAUGGAUGGAAAAUACCUUCAAAAACAUCUGAAGAAAACAUUUAUUCCAAAAACAGACAGCGAUAGCCAAAAUGCCAACUUAAAUGUACAUUGUGUAACAUCUACAUACAUGAAUAUAUCUGCUCUUGUAUUGAUUCACCUAGUUUCUGCUUCAAGGAAAGAAAAUCUACUUGGGGAUGGAGGACCAAACUUUCAAACUGAUACUGGUGAGUGGUGAGUGGUUAAUGGUAGCAAUAUGAUAAUGCCAUUGAAGAUUGAGAAUAGUUAUUUCAUAUCACAUGUUGCAUAAGAAGAAGUCAACUAUCAAGGUAAUAUGAAAAAAUUUCAUUAUUGGGUUUAGGACAUUUAGCACAUUACUAUCCUUUUUUUCUAUUUCUAUUUUUUUCAUAAAGCUUGUAUGGAUAUUUAUUUAUUAUGUUUGGGUGCUUGUAGGAAAUAUUGUCCUUAUAAUAGCAGGGUGUAUAUUAUCUAUAGAUAUUCUUUUGAAAGGGAGAAAUAGCAACUUUUACAAUCUUGAAACAAUAAAGCAGGUAUAAAGAAAUGGCAACAAGAAGCAGAUCGUAGAACCUGUUCCAGAUCUCACUGCAAGCAGAGGAAAAUUUUAUUAGGGUUCUAUACAUAUAUCUUUAAUAAUACAGGAAAAAAAGAGAUAAAAAACUAUUUGAGUGCACUCUGUUAUUAUACUUCAAAGUAGUGGUUAAUUUUACUGUAUCCCCUGUUUUAGACAGUAGUAGGUGAAGGAGUGUGAAGACACAAAAGAGAAGAAUUUAAUUCUAAAUGAAGUUGGUAGGAAAAGAGACUUGAAGAGGUCCGUAGAGAAGGAGAAGGAAGAUAUCAGGAACAAAAUUGCGAGACAUUUGAGGGACAGACAUUCCCCUACCAAACUUCAAGUCAUUAAAAAUAUUUUGGCUCCGCUUUCACCUACACACAGCUAUAGAUUCUAAUAAUUCCGUACCUUCUACAAGUAGAAUUCCACAUUGUAUGAAAAUUGUUCCACAGAGAUCACUGUUUUCAACCAGAAAUGAAAAAUCAAAGAAAAAAAAACAUUCUCCUUAAUCUGUGUAGAAUACAGUACCUGUUUCAAUAAACUAUUUAAAAUUU